CUUGAGAGUGAGCAGACCCUCAACCCUCCCUGCCCGGCCGGAGCUGGGCAGGAGGGGGGGGAGGGGAGCCAUGCGGCCGGAGAGAGAGAAAGAAUGUGACCAAGUCCAACCAAAAGUUUCUCCACAACACAGCAGACAGAAACUUUUUUUUCCCCUGAAAUGGAUUAAGAGUUCCAUUGUUGCCAUCUUCACAUCUGCUCAGUCCAGGUUUGGAAGCAAAACCAGCAAGCCAUAGUGCAAAGUUCUCAGUACCUCUGCCCAUCCUGGAAAUAAAAGGGUACCUCCAUUGUGAAACAUUUCCUGAAAAACUUACACAGAUUGAGGAGGAAAUUCAAAAAGGCGUGUAAGCUUCUCAUGUAACUCCAACAGAAUGCAAUUGUCUAAAUUGAUGUCAUCCCUCUGAUUCCUUACACACCUGAAGAUCAGCUCAGGGCUGCUUGAUUUCAGCUGACAAUGAGAGACACUGAGAACCACAUAGAAGAGAUCUGUUGCUGGCAUUGAACCAACCAAGUAGGCUGAGCCAAACACAGUGGAGCUUUCUGAAUAUUACAGAAUCACAGAAGGUUGGAAAAGACCUCCAAGAUCAUCAAGUCCAACCUUUGAUUGGUCAACACAUUGCUAGCACUAUGUGCCAUGUCCAGUCAUUUCUUGAACACUUCCAGGGGUGGUGACUCUACCACCCUGAGCAGACUGUUCCGAUGCUGAACAAGCAUUUUCAUGAAGAACUUCUUGAUGUCCAGCCAGAAUUUUUGGUGCAGCUAGAGCCUAUCUCUCAUUCUGUCACUGGCUGCCUGGGACAAGAGACUGAUCCCCAUCAUGCUACAACCUCUCAGUCAUCAUAGAGAGUGAUAAGGUCCCCUGAGCCUCCUUUUCUGCAAG